GACGAACGCUGGCGGCAUGUCUUACACGUGCAAGUCGAACGGCAGCACGGGUGCUUGCACCUGGUGGCGAGUGGCGAACGGGUGAGUAAUACAUCGGAACGUACCUUAUCGUGGGGGAUAACGCAGCGAAAGUUGCGCUAAUACCGCAUACGCCCUGAGGGGGAAAGCGGGGGACCGUAAGGCCUCGCGCGAUUAGAGCGGCCGAUGUCUGAUUAGCUUGUUGGUGAGGUAAAAGCUCACCAAGGCGAUGAUCAGUAGCUGGUCUGAGAGGACGAUCGUCCACACUGGGACUAGGACACGGCCCAGACUCCUACGGGAGGCAGCAGUGGGGAAGUUUGGACAAUGGGGGCAACCCUGAUCCAGCAAUGCCGCGUGAGUGAAGAAGGCCUUCGGGUUGUAAAGCUCUUUUGUCAGGGAAGAAACAGCAGCUCUAACGCAGUCUGCGAAUGACGGUACCUGAGGAAUAAGCACCGGCUAACUACGUGCCAGCCGCCGCCGUAA
rnacentral:rRNA from 1 species